GCUAAACGCGAAGAACCUUACCAGGCCUUGACAUCCUGAGAACCCUCCAGAGACGGAGGGGUGCCCUUCGGGGAGCUCAGAGACAGGUGCUGCAUGGCUGUCGUCAGCUCGUGUCGUGAGAUGUUCGGUUAAGUCCGGCAACGAGCGCAACCCUCGCCAUUAGUUGCCAGCAUUUCGGAUGGGCACUCUAGUGGGACUGCCUAUGAAAGUAGGAGGAAGGCGGGGAUGAUGUCUAGUCAGCAUGGUCCUUACGGCCUGGGCGACACACGUGCUACAAUGGCCGGUACAACGCGCUGCCACCUCGCGAGAGGGAGCUAAUCGUUAAAGCCGGUCCCAGUUCAGAUUGCAGUCUGCAACUCGACUGCAUGAAGUUGGAAUCGCUAGUAAUCGCGGAUCAGCCAUGCCGCGGUGAAUACGUUCCCGGGUCUUGUACACACCG
rnacentral:rRNA from 1 species